rnacentral:rRNA from 1 species
AUUGAACGCUGGCGGCAUGCCUUACACAUGCAAGUCGAACGGUAACAGGUCUUCGGAUGCUGACGAGUGGCGAACGGGUGAGUAAUACAUCGGAACGUGCCCGAUCGUGGGGGAUAACGAAGCGAAAGCUUUGCUAAUACCGCAUAAGAUCUACGGAUGAAAGCAGGGGACCGCAAGGCCUUGCGCGAACGGAGCGGCCGAUGGCAGAUUAGGUAGUUGGUGGGAUAAAAGCUUACCAAGCCGACGAUCUGUAGCUGGUCUGAGAGGACGACCAGCCACACCGGGACUGAGACACGGCCCAGACUCCUACGGGAGGCAGCAGUGGGGAAUUUUGGACAAUGGGCGAAAGCCUGAUCCAGCCAUGCCGCGUGCAGGAUGAAGGCCUUCGGGUUGUAAACUGCUUUUGUACGGAACGAAAAGACUCUGGUUAAUACCUGGGGUCCAUGACGGUACCGUAAGAAUAAGCACCGGCUAACUACGUG